GUAGAGGAGAGCCAACUGGAGAGGAAUCUGGCUGAUGAGAGUCUUGUCCGAGGGUCUGGGCCUCCCCGCAGCUCCCGCCCACGACUGCCAGGUGGAACGAGGGCUCCGCGUUGCCAGAUUGCCCAACCUUCCCACCCAGAGCUGGACUUCUGUUAAGCACGUCCGAUCGCCAAAGCCUCGCUCAGGCCAGAUGACCCUCGUCUGUGAGCCCGGUUCAGCCUGGCGAGUUAGCGGCUGCCCCGGUCUGCUUGCUCAGACAAGACCUUGGGGUGAGGCGGACCGAGUUUGGAUCUCCCCCCCCCCCCGCUUUCCGGGGUGGGCUCCCUCCCGCGCAAGUCGUUUAAUCUCGGAGCCUCUGUUUUCUUUAUCUGCGGAUCGCAACGGCCUAUCUCGCUGGGCUGCGGCGGGAUUAGAGAUAACCCUCCCCGGAAUCCUCCCGCAGGGAACCGGUCACCAGCACAUGGGGCCGUCAUGUAUUUAACGCGUGCUGGUCAAUACCGUGUUCACUCUGCAUCGGGCGCUGGAGUAUGGAUUGGAGUGCUUUGCCAGCAUUAACUCACUUCCUCGCGACGAUGCUAUGCAGUUGGUGCUGUGGUGAACAUACCCAUUCUGCAGAAGGGCAAGUGGAGACCUAGAAGGUUAUACGUGAGUCGCCCAGGAUCGCACAGUGCUGGGAUUCUGAACACAAGGCCAUAUGGCUCCGGAGCAGGUUCUGAACUGGCCAUGAUGAAGGCUAAGGAGUAGCGGAUGAGCAGAACUGAGCCACAGGGGCCGGGAUGCCGUAGAAUCUCAGUACGUGUUAGCUCGCUCUGACAAUCCUCCGGAUUGCCUCGCUUCCCUCGUCGGUUCGGCAUAAAGGUCCUGGCCCCUUUGAAUGGCGGCUUCUCAGGCCGUCACGUCCCCUCCUGCUUUUUGCCAAAGCCCCGGAUCACGAGUGCUGCUUUGGCUUCCUCCGCACGGCCUCCCGCUCCCUCCCACUGUUUAGUUAAUAAUAACAUAUCAUGUUCUGUCUCAGAUGCAUA
rnacentral:lncRNA from 1 species